CGCGAAUAUAACGUAGCCUAGACCAUUUGCUCUAUAAAUGCUGCAACAUCUUCCAGGAUCGAAACCAUAUUCGUAAUCCAAGGAAGACCUACAACUCUUUCAAUAAUUCUUUAUAAUAAUUAGUUGUUUGAAAAUGGCUUCUGGACCGACCUUGAAGCGUUCAGACUCUAUGGCUGAUAAUAUGCCGGAGGCCUUGAAGCAAAGCCGGUAUCAUAUGAAGAAGUGUUUCGCCAAGUACGUUCAGAAGGGGAGAAGGAUAAUGAAGCUUCAGCAUCUGCUGGAUGAAAUGGAGAAUGUGAUAGAUGACAAGAUGGAAAGAACCAAGGUCUUGGAAGGUUUACUAGGGGACAUAUGGUACUCCACUCAGGAAGCAGUCGUUAAUCCUCCUUACGUAGCUUUUGCAAUAAGACCAAGUCCUGGUUUCUGGGAAUAUGUCAAGGUUAACUCUUCUGAUCUCACUGUUGAGGGAAUCAGCGCUACAGAAUACUUGAAAUUCAAAGAAAUGAUAUUUGAGGAGACCUGGGCAAAAGAUGUGAAUGCAUUGGAAGUGGAUUUUGGAGCAUUUGAUUUCUCUGUGCCUCGCUUGACCUUGUCUUCUUCCAUUGGCAAUGGACUCAACUUCGUUUCCAAGUUCGUCACUUCAAAGUUAAGUGGGCGCUUGGAGAAUGCUCAGCCUCUGGUGGAUUACUUACUGUUACUCAAUCGUCGAGGAGAGAAACUUAUGAUCAAUGACAACCUUAAUACUGUUUCAAAGCUUCAGAUGGCACUGAUAGUUGCUGAAGUUUACCUCUCAGGCCUUUCCAAGGACACUUCAUAUCAAAAUUUUGAGCUAAGCUUCAAGGAGUGGGGCUUUGAGAAGGGAUGGGGUGACACAGCAGAGAGAGUGAAGGAGACAAUGAGAUCACUCUCAGAAGUGCUCCAAGCUCCAGAUCCAGUGAACAUGGAGAAGUUCUUUAGUCGGGUGCCGACGAUAUUCAAUAUUGUAAUUUUCUCUCCCCACGGCUACUUUGGGCAAUCAAAUGUCCUUGGCUUGCCAGAUACUGGUGGUCAGGUAGUCUACAUCCUGGACCAAGUGAAAGCUUUGGAAGAGGAGUUGCUUCUCAGGAUUAAGCAACAAGGGCUGAAGGCGAAACCUAAUAUUAUAGUGGUCACGCGAUUAAUUCCUGAGGCUCGUGGAACUAACUGCAACCAGGAAUUGGAAGCAAUUAAUGGCACAAAGCAUUCCAACAUCCUCCGAGUGCCAUUUAGCGUUGAAGAUAGGGUCCUCCGCCAGUGGGUUUCUCGUUUCGAUGUCUAUCCGUAUAUUGAGAAGUUUACUCAGGAUGUUACGGUCAAGGUACUAGACCUCAUGGAAGGAAAACCAGAUCUCAUUAUUGGAAACUAUACAGAUGGGAAUUUAGCAGCAACUCUCAUGUCUAAUAAACUUGGGAUAACUCAGGCAACUAUUGCACAUGCUUUGGAGAAGACAAAGUAUGAAGAUUCAGACAUCAAAUGGAAGGAAUUAGACCCCAAGUAUCACUUCUCAUGCCAAUUCAUAGCUGAUACAAUUGCAAUGAAUGCAGCAGAUUUUAUCAUAGCCAGCACAUACCAGGAGAUUGCAGGAAGCAAAGAAAGACCAGGACAGUAUGAGAGCCAUGAUUCAUUCACCCUUCCAGGGCUGUGUAGAAUUGUUUCUGGCAUUAAUCUCUUUGAUCCAAAAUUCAACAUAGCUGCACCUGGAGCUGAUCAAUCUGUCUACUUCCCAAACACAGAGAAACAGAAGAGAUUCACACAGUUUCAUCCUGCCAUUGAAGAACUAUUGUAUAGUAAAGAGGAGAAUGAAGAACACAUUGGAUAUCUAGCAGACAGAGGGAAACCUAUUAUCUUCUCAAUGGCAAGGCUUGAUAUAGUGAAAAACCUCACUGGAUUAACUGAGUGGUAUGGAAAGAACAAGAGGUUGAGAAAUUUGGUUAAUCUUGUCAUAGUUGGGGCCUUCUUUGAUCCUUCUAAAUCCAAAGACAGAGAAGAGAUGGCUGAAAUUAGGAAGAUGCAUGCUUUGAUAGAGAAGUACCAACUCAAGAGUCAGUUCAGAUGGAUAGCAGCACAGACAGACAGGCAGCGAAAUGGAGAACUCUAUCGUUGCAUUGCAGAUACAAAGGGAGCUUUUGUGCAGCCAGCUCUCUAUGAAGCAUUUGGACUCACAGUCAUUGAGGCAAUGAACUGUGGAUUACCCACCUUCGCAACUAAUCAAGGAGGUCCAGCUGAAAUAAUUGUUGAUGGGCUAUCAGGAUUUCUUAUUGAUCCCAACGAUGGAGAUGAAGCAAGCAACAAAAUCGCUGACUUCUUUGAGAAGUGUAAGGUAGAUGCAGGAUACUGGAGUAAGUUUUCAGAAGAUGGGUUGAAACGCAUAAAUGAAUGCUACACCUGGAAGAUAUAUGCAAAUAGGGUAUUGAAUAUGGGUUGCAUGUAUGCUUUCUGGAGGCAGCUGAACAAGGAACAGAAACAAGCAAAACAAAGAUACAUCCAAAUGUUAUAUAAUCUGCAAUUCAGGAGGCUGGUAUGCUAUUAUACCUGCCAUGGACUUUGGUACUUAGUGCCUGUGGUCCUAAAACAAAAACAACCAUAUUGAUAACAAUGAAGCUCCUGAUUUAACUUGUUUCAAAUGUCUGUGACACUUUCAGAUGAAGAAUGUGCCUAUCCCAACUGAAGAAGCUCAGCAGCAACUAGAGUCGAAACCCGUAAGCAAAGCACCAUCAAGGCAAGUAACUUAACUCGCCACUACAGGCACAAUCGCUUUCCAGAUGAUGAUUUAGAUUCUAAAUUAUUUUAAGUUUCUGCAUAGUGUGCAGAAACUGUUAUCAUAAGAACAGUUUCUGCGCACUAUAACAAUUAGUAUUCAUGCCAUCUUGCCUCUCCAGAACUGAAUACCGUAGAAACAGGAUCGCAUAAGCUAUUUCAACUGCUUUCUGUCUUCUUAACAGCUCAGUUUUACGUAACCUGAUAAACAUUUUAUAUUUCACCUGCGCAGCACAAGACGCAGUCAGUCCCGAUUGCAAAGGUAAGAGUAGAAUCUCAAAAAACUUAUCCUUUGGAUUCUCCAAUGAAGCAAAUGAAAGCAUUUUUAACCUAUGUUCAGGUUGUUCGGAGCUUAAGAGUGCAAGUAGGCAGCAUAGCUCAGAAGCAUUCCUGAGCCACCUGACCUUAGCGUCCCCUAUUAUGUUUUUUCCAGUGUUUGAUCUCUUGCAUUCACAGAAGAAACAAAUUGUGUAAUUUCUGAAAAUUAAGGAACUGGUAUUGUGUUAUAGAUCAAUAAUUUUCAAUUGUGUAAUGAAUUAUUCUGUUACACCCCAAGCCAAGAUCAUGUCUGAAUCGGGCUUGGGGUGCAAUAUUUGUAAUUGAUUAUUCAUGACUGCAAGUUCGCUACAGGUUCAUUCCUGUGCAAUUAUUUGAUUAUUACUGGGAAAAACUGAUAGCCUAAUUUCUAUCAAAAGAUCCUCAAUGUAUACGUGUCUAUAUAUCAUUUUUGCCACCUAUCAUGCAUUGAAUCCAG
rnacentral:misc_RNA from 1 species